rnacentral:rRNA from 1 species
CACGUAGGGGGCAAGCGUUGUCCGGAUUUAUUGGGCGUAAAGAGCUCGUAGGCGGUUCGGUAAGUCGGGUGUGAAACCUCCAGGCUCAACCUGGAGACGCCACCUGAUACUGCUGUGACUCGAGUCCGGUAGGGGAGCGUGGAAUUCCUGGUGUAGCGGUGAAAUGCGCAGAUAUCUGGAGGAACACCGGUGGCGAAGGCGGCAUCCUGGACCGGUAUUGACGCUGAGGCGCGAAAGCCAGGGGAGCAAACGGG